rfam:Gossypium hirsutum cultivar TM-1 chromosome 6, whole genome shotgun sequence
AACCCAUAAUGAGGGCACCUUCUCAAUAAGUCCUUGUACCUCUCCCAUGCACUAUACAAAGUUUCUAAAUCCAUCUGCAUAAAAGAAGAUAUACAUUCCUUAAUUU